ACCACUAAAAAUUGUGGCAGAAUGGUUAUUUGUAUUGCCUACUGACACAUUAACAGAAACGAAAAGUCAGCAGUUACUUUCUGCUGGAGAAAGAGAGGAAGGAUCACAAAAGAAGGAUAUGCAUGGACAGAGAAUAAAAGUUGUAUGGAAACUACCAGAAAAAAAAGUUGUGCAACCCAACAAGAAGGUCACGUGAUGACGGGCUGUGUCCAAAACGUUUCCAUGAUCACAAAAUAAAGAAUUCAACUCCGUCUGGACCACUAUUACUUAUGCAACUUACCAGCGCAACUUACCAGCAUUUUAAAAUUCACCUGCAUCGUGAAUAGUCUGUGCAUGGGAAAACAAACAGCACUCAAAUGUUAAGCAGCAAACAAACAGACCAACAGAGAAAGCCCCAAAUAAACAGGUGUGCAAAGAGCUACCGACGCUGCACAGAGCACCGAGGAGGACUUCAGAGCUGCCACCACGAGGGAUUUCU